rnacentral:rRNA from 1 species
UACGUAGGGUUCAAGCGUUGUCCGGAAUUAUUGGGCGUAAAGAGCUCGUAGGCGGUCUGUCGCGUCUGCUGUGAAAACUCGGGGCUUAACCCCGGGCCUGCAGUGGGUACGGGCAGACUAGAGUGCGGUAGGGGAGACUGGAAUUCCUGGUGUAGCGGUGAAAUGCGCAGAUAUCAGGAGGAACACCGGUGGCGAAGGCGGGUCUCUGGGCCGUAACUGACGCUGAGGAGCGAAAGCAUGGGGAGCGAACAGG